rnacentral:rRNA from 1 species
AGUGAACGCUGGCGGUAGGCCUAACACAUGCAAGUCGAACGGCAGCACAGUAAGAGCUUGCUCUUACGGGUGGCGAGUGGCGGACGGGUGAGGAAUACAUCGGAAUCUACUUUUUCGUGGGGGAUAACGUAGGGAAACUUACGCUAAUACCGCAUACGACCUACGGGUGAAAGCAGGGGAUCUUCGGACCUUGCGCGAUUGAAUGAGCCGAUGUCGGAUUAGCUAGUUGGCGGGGUAAAGGCCCACCAAGGCGACGAACCGUAGCUGGUCUGAGAGGAUGAUCAGCCACACUGGAACUGAGACACGGCCCAGACUCCUACGGGGGGCAGCAGUGGGGAAUAUUGGACAAUGGGCGCAAGCCUGAUCCAGCCAUACCGCGUGGGUGAAGAAGGCCUUCGGGUUGUAAAGCCCUUUUGUUGGGAAAGAAAAGCAGCAGGUUAAUACCCCGCUGUUCUGACGGUACCCAAAGAAUAAGCACCGGCUAACUUCGUG